AGUGAACGCUGGCGGUAGGCCUAACACAUGCAAGUCGAACGGCAGCACAGUAAGAGCUUGCUCUUACGGGUGGCGAGUGGCGGACGGGUGAGGAAUACAUCGGAAUCUACUUUUUCGUGGGGGAUAACGUAGGGAAACUUACGCUAAUACCGCAUACGACCUACGGGUGAAAGCAGGGGAUCUUCGGACCUUGCGCGAUUGAAUGAGCCGAUGUCGGAUUAGCUAGUUGGCGGGGUAAAGGCCCACCAAGGCGACGAUCCGUAGCUGGUCUGAGAGGAUGAUCAGCCACACUGGAACUGAGACACGGUCCAGACUCCUACGGGAGGCAGCAGUGGGGAAUAUUGGACAAUGGGCGCAAGCCUGGUCCAGCCAUACCGCGUGGGUGAAGAAGGCCUUCGGGUUGUAAAGCCCUUUUGUUGGGAAAGAAAAGCAGCAGGUUAAUACCCCGCUGUUCUGACGGUACCCAAAGAAUAAACACCGGCUAACUUCGUG
rnacentral:rRNA from 1 species